AAAUACACUGGCAGGAAUAUACACCAAACACUCACAAAAGAACCAGAGAAAUCACUGGUUCUGGCCAAAUGAGUAGAACACACACACACACACACACACACACACACACACACACAUACACACAUACACAGUGACUAAAGCGGGAUAGUAAUGUGUCUAGAGUAGUUUUCAGAGUAUGUGUGUGUAUGUGUGUGUGCGUGUGUGUACCUACAUGUGCAUAUCCCUGGUAGUGCAUUACUGCUGCACUUAUUUGGAGGAAAUUUGAGAAAAUGUCUUUGAACAUGGUUGUCUUACUGGAUUUCAUUUAUUAAAUAAUUCACCAGGCUUUUCUUCUGGAAAAAUGUCCAACUGUAGCAGACAGAAAGGAAGCCAAGAGAGGGUGUUUACAGCAAGGAGGGGCUAUGAAAUAUCUUCACUCCAGGUUCUUUAUGAGCUGCAGUGUAUCAUUUUUAUCAGCAAUUGGAAGCAUGCUGCAUGUUUGACUCUGUGGACUCCUGCUUUACACAACAGAACAUUCCGAUGGUGUGCAUGUGCCAUAGUACGUAUAGAAAUUCUAAGAAUUCAUAUAAUUUACCUGCUAAAUCAGGGACUAUUACAGUCUGCUGUGUAAAUUCACAUUUUGGCACUCUUUAAAAAGUGGAUUAUUAUUGACCCAAUAGACCAUAACAGCUCCAAAGAAGCCGUUACUGUACAUCGUGUAAAGCCUUCGUGGUGUGUGUUUUAUUGAAGCUCUGUAGCUGUCGGGAUCUGCUUGUCAAUCUAGCUGCCAUGCGCGUGCACCAAAUGCAUUGCUAAAGAUGCCUUGUAAAUUGAAGCUUUAGUCAAAUUACCCUUGUUCUUGUCCAAUAAGCCAUGGUAUAAAAUUGGAUAUUUCCACUGCAGUUUCUUUCUCCACCUCCAGAAUUCUAUUUCCCUGUAUUUAUAGAGGUUGAAAUUUUGAAAUGUGGAUAAGGGAGUGGUGAUUUGAUUUCAAGUUUCAAAAAAAAAAAAAAAAAAAAAGCAGGAAGAAAAUUGAAGACAGUUUUUGCUUUGCAUGAAAAAACAUCUCAAAGAAUGCAUGAAUUUACCAGCUUCCAGGAGGCUGACAACGGUCACAGUGAGAUUUCUCUACUUUAGGCUUUUGGGAAUCCAAAUAAGAUUUUUAUUUAAUUUUCUAUGUGCUAAUUUUGUGUUUUUCCACCUGUCUGUCCUCUUCUUUCAUUUAACAAAAAAAUGAACAUUGGAACAUUUGUCAGGAAAAAAAAAAAACUUUUUAGUUACUUGUACCUUCAGUAAAAAUAAAAUAAUACUUUGAGGUCUCAAGCUGUAGGUG
rnacentral:lncRNA from 1 species